AGAGUUUGAUCCUGGCUCAGGAUGAACGCUGGCGGCGUGCUUAACACAUGCAAGUCGAACGAUGACUUUUGUGCUUGCACAAAAUGAUUAGUGGCGAACGGGUGAGUAACACGUGAGUAACCUGCCCUUAACUUCGGGAUAAGCCUGGGAAACCGGGUCUAAUACCGGAUACGACGGAUCCCCGCAUGGGGGUCCGUGGAAAGCUUGAUGCGGUUUUGGAUGGACUCGCGGCCUAUCAGCUAGUUGGUUGGGGUAAUGGCCCACCAAGGCGACGACGGGUAGCCGGCCUGAGAGGGUGACCGGCCACACUGGGACUGAGACACGGCCCAGACUCCUACGGGAGGCAGCAGUGGGGAAUAUUGCACAAUGGGCGAAAGCCUGAUGCAGCGACGCCGCGUGAGGGACGAAGGCCUUCGGGUUGUAAACCUCUUUCAGCAGGGAAGAAGCGAAAGUGACGGUACCUGCAGAAGAAGCGCCGGCUAACUACGUGCCAGCAGCCGCGGUAAUACGUAGGGCGCAAGCGUUAUCCGGAAUUAUUGGGCGUAAAGAGCUCGUAGGCGGUUUGUCGCGUCUGCUGUGAAAGCCCGGGGCUCAACCCCGGGUCUGCAGUGGGUACGGGCAGACUAGAGUGCAGUAGGGGAGACUGGAAUUCCUGGUGUAGCGGUGAAAUGCGCAGAUAUCAGGAGGAACACCGAUGGCGAAGGCAGGUCUCUGGGCUGUAACUGACGCUGAGGAGCGAAAGCAUGGGGAGCGAACAGGAUUAGAUACCCUGGUAGUCCAUGCCGUAAACGUUGGGCACUAGGUGUGGGGGACAUUCCACGUUUUCCGCGCCGUAGCUAACGCAUUAAGUGCCCCGCCUGGGGAGUACGGCCGCAAGGCUAAAACUCAAAGGAAUUGACGGGGACCCGCGCAAGCGGUGGAGUAUGUGGCUUAAUUCGAUGCAACGCGAAGAACCUUACCAAGGCUUGACAUCCCGUGACCGCCCAUGAAAGUGGGUUUUCUAUUCGUAGACACGGAGACAGGUGCUGCAUGGCCGUCGUCAGCUCGUGUCGUGAGAUGUUUGGUUAAGUCCAGCAACGAGCGCAACCCCUGCUGCCAGUUACCAUCAUUAAGUUGGGGACUCUGGCGGGACUGCCCAGAUCAACUGGGAGGAAGGUGGGGACGACGUCAGGUCAGUAUGGCCCUUAUGCCUUGGGCUGCACACGUAAUACAAUGGCCGUCAACAAAGGGAAGCAAAGCCGCGAGGUGGAGCAAAUCCCCAAAAACGGUCUCAGUUCGGAUUGCAGGCUGCAACUCGACCUCAUGAAGUUGGAGUCGCUAGUAAUCGCAGAUCAGCAACGCUGCGGUGAAUACGUUCCCGGGCCUUGCACACACCGCCCGUCAAG
rnacentral:rRNA from 1 species